GGUUUAAUUCGAAGCAACGCGAAGAACCUUACCAAAUCUUGACAUCCUUUGACAACUCUAGAGAUAGAGCUUUCCCCUUCGGGGGACAAAGUGACAGGUGGUGCAUGGUUGUCGUCAGCUCGUGUCGUGAGAUGUUGGGUUAAGUCCCGCAACGAGCGCAACCCUUAAGCUUAGUUGCCAUCAUUAAGUUGGGCACUCUAAGUUGACUGCCGGUUGACAAACCGGA
rnacentral:rRNA from 1 species